GAUGAACGCUGACAGAAUGCUUAACACAUGCAAGUCAACCUGAAUUUGCGGUUUUAACUUAUGUUUGGGUGGCGGACGGGUGGGUAACGCGUAAAGAACUCGCCUCAUAUCUAGCUCCAACAUUUGGAAACGACUGCUAAUACCUACUAUUAUUAUAAUAGGGCAUCUGAUUAUUUUGAAAGCUAUAAGCGUUGUGUCAGAGCUUUGCGUCCCAUUACCUCGUUGGAGAGGUAAUGGAUCACCAAGGCGAUGAUGGGUGGCCGGCCUGAGAGGGUGAACGGGCACAGGGGCACAGGGACACGGCACGUAGUCCUACGGGAGACAGCAGUGGGGAAUAUUGGACAAUGGACCGAGAGUGUGAUGCAGAAAUUCGGUGUGGACGAUGAAGUUUUUCGGGAUGGAAAGUGCUUUCAGUUGGGAAGAAACAAAUGACGGUACCAACAGAAGAAGUGACGGCUAACUACGUG
rnacentral:rRNA from 1 species